rnacentral:rRNA from 1 species
UGGGGAAUAUUGCACAAUGGGCGCAAGCCUGAUGCAGCCAUGCCGCGUGUGUGAAGAAGGCCUUCGGGUUGUAAAGCACUUUCAGCGGGGAGGAAGGCGUUAAGGUUAAUAACCUUGGCGAUUGACGUUACCCGCAGAAGAAGCACCGGCUAACUCCGUGCCAGCAGCCGCGGUAAUACGGAGGGUGCAAGCGUUAAUCGGAAUUACUGGGCGUAAAGCGAACGCAGGCGGUCUGUCAAGUCGGAUGUGAAAUCCCCGGGCUCAACCUGGGAACUGCAUUCGAAACUGGCAGGCUAGAGUCUUGUAGAGGGCGGUGGAAUUCCAGGUGUAGCGAUGAAAUGCGUAGAGAUCUGGAUGAAUACCGGUGGCGAAGGCGGCCCCCUGGACAAAGACUGACGCUCAGGUGCUAAAGCGUGGGGAGCAAACAGG